ACAAAUUGAGGGCUAAAACCUAAUUAAACAUAUAAAUAGAAGGUCUAAUGCGUAAAAGAACAGAUCUAGGAUAGCGGGUGGGAUUUUAUAAAAGAGCAGGGGCCUAAACAUAAGAAAAUGAUCUAAAUCUAAUUAAUUUUGAACUAGAUGGAUCUCGGGGGCAAAAAGAGGAAAUAGCGUGGACUCUUUAGCAAAAACGACGUGGUUGACUUGUUUGAGCGGUACCGGACUUCGGUCAGAUUAGAUCUGACUCGUGCAGAUCGGACAGCUGGCGGCUGUGGUAGCGCACAGGCGACGGCAAACGCGGCGGCGAACGGCGGUGCUGCAGGGGACCUCGCCGGAAUCGAGCAUAGCUCGAGUGGCGGUUCACGGUUUUUGACGGGGAUUGGCUCAGGGAGAAGCUGGGGUUACGACGAACCGAUCUAGGUGGUUCUCGCUGCGGCCGAGGCAAGGAAGGUGAAGGGUGAUGUGGUGGGGCGGCUCGAGCGGAGAAGCUCGACCACGGCGAGCUCGUACACGCAAAGGAAGGCUCGGGAGCGUGUCGAGCCUGCACCAGAGGCUUCCUCACCUUGCGGCAAAGCUCCUAGGGGUCUUCUGUUCAUCAGGAAGGCCGUGGCGGCGGCAGACAUCGAACGCGGCGGCCUGGCAGCUAGGGUUGAGCUCUAGCGGUGGCGCUGGGUCUCAAAGGCGGUAGGUGCUAGGGUUUUGGUGAGGUUGGGAGGGGUGUUGGCACAAAAAAUCGGACAGUGGACCUGACUUUUGCGUCGAGCACACGACAUGGGAGAAUCCGCUUAACUCCUGUUCGGGUUAACAAGGAAGAAUAGAUAUCAGAUUUCAGAGAUUCGAUCGGCUGGAGUUUCGAUCUACUCUAAAAAAACGUAUCAGCGGAUUGGCCGAUGUAAUGUAAGGAUGACCGGCUAUGAAGUAGCUGAUAAUCACGUAGCAAAUGUAAAGGGAACUGCUAGAGUAACCUAAAC
rnacentral:lncRNA from 1 species